GAUGAAGAACGCAGCGAAAUGCGAUACGUAAUGUGAAUUGCAGAAUUCAGUGAAUCAUCGAAUCUUUGAACGCACAUUGCGCCCGCCAGUAUUCUGGCGGGCAUGCCUGUUCGAGCGUCAUUUCAACCCUCAAGCCCCCGGGCUUGGUGUUGGGGAUCGGCGUGCCCUCGCGGCGCGCCGUCCCCUAAAUCUAGUGGCGGUCUCGCUGUAGCUUCCUCUGCGUAGUAGCAACACUCGCACUGGAUCGCAGCGCGGCCACGCCGUUAAACCCCCCACUUCUGAAAGUUUGACCUCGGAUCAGGUAGGAAUACCCGCUGAACUUAAGCAUAUCAAUAAGCGGAGGA
rnacentral:misc_RNA from 1 species